ensembl:lncRNA
CCCGAGUGACUGUAGCGCCCGCAGGUGCCUGUGCCUGUGUAUCCCGACAAUAAACCAAAUCCUCUUGCUGAUUGCAUCCUGUGGUGUCUCGGUCUGGUCUUUGGAGUUGGAGGGUCUCCAUCCCGAGGGAAAGUUCUCCCUGAGAGCUUUUCAUUUGGUGCGUUGGCCGGGAAAGGAGAUCCUCCACCCAGGGACCACCGACCACCCACUGGGAGGUAAGCCGGCCGACGUCUGUCUGUCUGUCUAAUUUUGUCUCGUUCUACCUUAUUCUGUCUGUUCUGUGAGCGCUCAGCCAGGUCUGUUCUGUGAGUGCUCAGCCAGGUUGUUUGGAAUUUGGGCGGGACGAAGAAGGAGCUGACGAGCUCGGACUUCUCGCCCCGCAGCCCUGGAAGACGUUCCAAGGGUGUUGGGGCCCGACUUUUCGGGGCCCAAUCUGGGAGAGGAGGAAGAUCCGGACUAACGGCACUCUGUCUGUAUUUUUGGCUUUCAGAGGGCCCCGGACCUUUGCCACCUCCAUCUGACUUUUUGCUUUCAGUUUGGUACCAAAGCCGUGCAGCACGCCUGUCUGUUGUUUGUUUGACUGUUGGUGUUGUUUGUUUUCUCUGUGUUCUAAUCUUCCUUAGAACUAACAUGGGACAGUCCCUAACAACGCCCCUAAGUCUCACUCUUGAUCAUUAGAAAGACGUCCACGACCGGGCACACAACCAGUCUGUCGAGGUUAAAAAAAAAAAGGAAAAGGGCAGACUAUCUGCACAUCUGAGUGGCCCACUUUCGGAGCGGGAUGGCCAGUGAAUGACACAUUUAAUAAGAUCAUUAUUUUACAGGUUAAAGAUCGGGCCGUCCACGGACAUCCUGACCAGGUUUCUUAUAUUAUCACUUGAGAGAGUCUCGCCUUAACCCCCCCCCCCCGGGCGGAACCCUUCGUGAACCCGAAUUGGCCUCCCCUCAACCCCCAGCCUGUCCCCUCGGCCCCGCC